rnacentral:rRNA from 1 species
GACAGAGGUGCCAAGCGUUAGGCGGAAUCACUGGGCUUAAAGCGUGUGUAGGCGGAUGCCUAAGUACCUUGUGAAAUCCCACGGCUCAACCGUGGAACUGCUGGGUAUACUGGGUGUCUUGGGUCAGCUAGGGGUUGCCGGAACAAAUGGUGGAGCGGUGAAAUGCGUAGAGAUCCGGAGGAACACCAAAGGCGAAGGCAGUGUCCUGGGGAGUACCUGACGCUCAGGUGCGAAAGCCAGGGGAGCGAACGGG